CAAGGUUAAGUUCAAAUGCACCACCGUCUUGUUCCUCGAGCUGUCCUGACCCCGGGGAUGAUGGGAGCUGACAGAGAGCAGAUUGGGUGGCACUUAUUCUACUGAUUGAGCCUCAGUGCGGAAACAGAGGUCGACAACUAUCAAACGCUGUCCUGAAAUGGCGAGGAGAGAGGUCUCUGGGACGGGGGGCGCUGCCAGACCGCCUUCACCUCAAAGAGACAGCUGGUGCUGCAGACAACAAGGCCAUCGCAUCAGGGUGAGGACUGGCAGGAGUCUGUUGCUUGGCCAGAGAGCAGCUGCAAUACGGCAAUGCUGUAGUCCCACAUCUAAUAAUAGAACUGGAACAACAGGAGGCCACAAUCAUCUGUGUGUAAUUUGACGUGGAUACAUAGUUGAGCAGAAGAAGACAGGAAGAUGGAAAUCAGCACAUGGCUGCAAUUCCAGAGUUUCUUUCUGAGUGACAAGCAUCUGUCGGCACUCUCACAGACCUCUGGACUUACGGACAGCUUCCCACAGAAAUGUCCAGAACAAUAUUGGCAUGUGACUAUCAGCACUAAGCCCCCAGGCAUCCUAUAAUAAUAAACAGGUAAUUGAAAGCUCAGCUCAGUACGUGCUGUUAGCAGGGAGCAGAGCUGCUGAAAGAUUGCUGCACCAUUUGGUGUUACAAAGGUGUUGAAAGAAGCUAUUAUAUUAGUUAGUCUGUACCUGUAA